rnacentral:rRNA from 1 species
CCUACGGGUGGCAGCAGUGGGGAAUAUUGGACAAUGGGGGCAACCCUGAUCCAGCCAUGCCGCGUGUGUGAAGAAGGCCCUCGGGUUGUAAAGCACUUUCAGUGAGGAAGAACGCCUGGUGGUUAAUACCCAUCAGGAAAGACAUCACUCACAGAAGAAGCACCGGCUAACUCCAUGCCAGCAGCCGCGGUAAUACGGAGGGUGCGAGCGUUAAUCGGAAUUACUGGGCGUAAAGCGCGCGUAGGUGGCUUGAUAAGCCGGUUGUGAAAGCCCCGGGCUCAACCUGGGAACGGCAUCCGGAACUGUCAAGCUAGAGUGCAGGAGAGGAAGGUAGAAUUCCCGGUGUAGCGGUGAAAUGCGUAGAGAUCGGGAGGAAUACCAGUGGCGAAGGCGGCCUUCUGGACUGACACUGACACUGAGGUGCGAAAGCGUGGGUAGCAAACAGGAUUAGAUACCCCAGUAGUC